ACGCUGUUCUGAAAGUAUGCAGUCUGAGUUGAUUAUCAUAAUCAGUUAA
rnacentral:rRNA from 1 species